UACGAAGGGGGCUAGCGUUGUUCGGAAUUACUGGGCGUAAAGGGCGCGUAGGCGGUACGACAAGUCGGAUGUGAAAUCCCCGGGCUCAACCCGGGAAUUGCAUUCGAAACUGUCGUGCUAGAGGCCUGGAGAGGAGAGUGGAAUUCCCAGUGUAGAGGUGAAAUUCGUAGAUAUUGGGAGGAACACCAGUGGCGAAGGCGGCUCUCUGGCCAGGAUCUGACGCUGAGGCGCGAAAGUGUGGGGAGCAAACAGG
rnacentral:rRNA from 1 species